CCUACGGGAGGCAGCAGUGAGGAAUAUUGGUCAAUGGGCGCGAGUCUGAACCAGCCAAGCAGCGUGAAGGAAGACUGCCCUAUGGGUUGUAAACUUCUUUUAUAAAAGAAUAAAGUGAGGUACGUGUGUCUUGUUGAAUGUAUCGUACGAAUAAGGAUCGGCUAACUCCGUGCCAGCAGCCGCGGUAAUACGGAGGAUUCGAGCGUUAUCCGGAUUUAUUGGGUUUAAAGGGAGCGUAGACGGGUUGUUAAGUUAGUGGUGAAAGUUUGCGGCUCAACUGUGGCAUUGCCAGUGAUACUGGCGGGCUAGAGUACAGUUGAGGUAGGCGGAAUUCGUGGUGUAGCGGUGAAAUGCAUAGAUAUCACGAAGAACUCCGAUUGCGAAGGCAGCUUACCAAACUACCACUGACGUUGAGGCACGAAAGCGUGGGUAGCAAACAGGAUUAGAUACCCCAGUAGUC
rnacentral:rRNA from 1 species